rnacentral:rRNA from 1 species
GAGUUUGAUCCUGGCUCAGAUUGAACGCUGGCGGCAGGCCUAACACAUGCAAGACGAACGGUAACAGGAAGAAGCUUGCUUCUUUGCUGACGAGUGGCGGACGGGUGAGUAAUGUCUGGGAAACUGCCUGAUGGAGGGGGAUAACUACUGGAAACGGUAGCUAAUACCGCAUAACGUCGCAAGACCAGAGAGGGGGACCUUCGGGCCUCUUGCCAUCGGAUGUGCCCAGAUGGGAUUAGCUAGUAGGUGGGGUAACGGCUCACCUAGGCGACGAUCCCUAGCUGGUCUGAGAGGAUGACCAGCCACACUGGAACUGAGACACGGUCCAGACUCCUACGGGAGGCAGCAGUGGGGAAUAUUGCACAAUGGGCGCAAGCCUGAUGCAGCCAUGCCGCGUGUAUGAAGAAGGCCUUCGGGUUGUAAAGUACUUUCAGCGGGGAGGAAGGGAGUAAAGUUAAUACCUUUGCUCAUUGACGUUACCCGCAGAAGAAGCACCGGCUAACUCCGUGCCAGCAGCCGCGGUAAUACGGAGGGUGCAAGCGUUAAUCGGAAUUACUGGGCGUAAAGCGCACGCAGGCGGUUUGUUAAGUCAGAUGUGAAAUCCCCGGGCUCAACCUGGGAACUGCAUCUGAUACUGGCAAGCUUGAGUCUCGUAGAGGGGGGUAGAAUUCCAGGUGUAGCGGUGAAAUGCGUAGAGAUCUGGAGGAAUACCGGUGGCGAAGGCGGCCCCCUGGACGAAGACUGACGCUCAGGUGCGAAAGCGUGGGGAGCAAACAGGAUUAGAUACCCUGGUAGUCCACGCCGUAAACGAUGUCGACUUGGAGGUUGUGCCCUUGAGGCGUGGCUUCCGGAGCUAACGCGUUAAGUCGACCGCCUGGGGAGUACGGCCGCAAGGUUAAAACUCAAAUGAAUUGACGGGGGCCCGCACAAGCGGUGGAGCAUGUGGUUUAAUUCGAUGCAACGCGAAGAACCUUACCUGGCCUUGACAUCCACGGAAGUUUUCAGAGAUGAGAAUGUGCCUUCGGGAACCGUGAGACAGGUGCUGCAUGGCUGUCGUCAGCUCGUGUUGUGAAAUGUUGGGUUAAGUCCCGCAACGAGCGCAACCCUUAUCCUUUGUUGCCAGCGGUCCGGCCGGGAACUCAAAGGAGACUGCCAGUGAUAAACUGGAGGAAGGUGGGGACGACGUCAAGUCAUCAUGGCCCUUACGACCAGGGCUACACACGUGCUACAAUGGCGCAUACAAAGAGAAGCGACCUCGCGAGAGCAAGCGGACCUCAUAAAGUGCGUCGUAGUCCGGAUUGGAGUCUGCAACUCGACUCCAUGAAGUCGGAAUCGCUAGUAAUCGUGGAUCAGAAUGCCACGGUGAAUACGUUCCCGGGCCUUGUACACACCGCCCGUC